AUACUUACCUGGCAGGGGAGAUACCAGGAUCACAAAGGUGGUUUUCCCAAGGCGAGGCUUAUCCAUUGCAUUCCGGAUGUGCUGACCCCUGUGAUUUCCCCAAAUGUGGGGUUUGGUAUAUAAACUUAGUGACAACAUGCUAUGGUGCCAUGAGCUCA